rnacentral:rRNA from 1 species
GAAAGUAAGCAAGGGCAGACGGUGGAUGCCUUGGCUCUCGGAGGCGAUGAAGGACGUGAUAAGCUGCGAUAAGCUUGGGGUAGGUGCAAAUAACCUUUGAUCCCAAGAUUUCCGAAUGGGGCAACCCGGCUGGUAGAAGGCCAGUCAUUCCGUAAGGAAGGCGAACGUGGGGAACUGAAACAUCUAAGUACCCAUAGGAGAAGAAAACAAAAGUGAUUCCGCAAGUAGUGGCGAGCGAACGCGGAACAGCCCAAACCGAUGAUGUUUAGGCAUUGUCGGGGUAGUAGGACCACGUUGUGGCAAGAGAUUAAGGAAGUAGAACGUUUUGGAACAAACGGCCGUAGACGGUGAAAGCCCAGUAUACGACUCUUUAACGAAGCCUAGUGGAAUCCUGAGUAGCGCGGAGCACGAGAAAUUCUGUGUGAAUCAGCGGGGCCCAUCCCGUAAGGCUAAAUACUCCCGAGAGACCGAUAGCGAACCAGUACUGUGAAGGAAAGGUGAAAAGCACCUCGAACAGAGGAGUGAAAUAGUCCCUGAAACCGUCUGCCUACAAGCGGUCGGAGCAACGUAAGUUGUGACGGCGUGCCUUUUGCAUAAUGAACCUACGAGUUACUUUCUCCGGCAAGGUUAAGGGCUUCAGGCCCGGAGCCGAAGCGAAAGCGAGUCUUAAUAGGGCGUGAUAGUCGGAGUGAGUAGACGCGAAACCAAGUGAUCUACCCUUGGUCAGGAUGAAGGUUGGGUAACACCAACUGGAGGUCCGAAUGGGUAUACGUUGAAAAGUGUUCCAAUGAACUGAGGGUAGGGGUGAAAGGCUAAUCAAACUUGGAGAUAGCUCGUACUCCCCGAAAUGCAUUUAGGUGCAGCCUUUAUUUAGUAUAGCAUGAGGUAGAGCGACUGAUUGGAUGCGAGGGCUUCACCGCCUAUCAAGUCCAGAUAAACUCCGAAUGCGUGCUAUAUAUUGAUAAGGAGUGAGGGCGCGGGUGCUAAGGUCCGCGUCCGAGAGGAGAAGAAUCCAGACCAUCAGCUAAGGUCCCCAAAUAACAGUUAAGUUGAACUAACGAAGUCGGACUGCAGAGACAGCUAGGAUGUUGGCUUGGAAGCAGCCAUUCAUUUAAAGAGUGCGUAACAGCUCACUAGUCGAGGAGUCCGGCGUGGAUAAUACUCGGGCAUAAACUGUUUACCGAAGCUAUGGAUGUAGAAAUACAUGGUAGGGGAGCAUUCCAACGGCGUUGAAGGUGAAGGAUGACCUUUGCUGGAGCUUUUGGAAACGCAAAUGUAGGUAUAAGUAACGAUAAAGGAGGUGAGAAACCUCCUCGCCGAAAGACUAAGGUUUCCUGAUCAACGUUAAUCGGAUCAGGGUAAGUCGGGACCUAAGGUUAAGCCGAACGGCGAUACCGAUGGAAGAAUGGUUUAAUAUUCCCAUACUACUUUAUGGAGCGAUGUGGAGACGGAGAAGUGAAAGUCCUGCCAUCUGACGGAAUAGGUGGUUGAAGAGUGUAGAUGUAGAUUCCUGUAGGCAAAUCCGCAGGGAGAGUCGACCUUGACAGUAUGCCGCGUGCUUGCACAAGGCAAAAUGGACGUAAUCAGGCUCCCAAGAAAAUCCGCUAAGCAUAUUCAUAAAGUACCCGUACCGUAAACGGACACACGUAGUUGGGUUGAAAAUACUGAGGCGCUCGAGUGAUUCACGGUUAAGGAACUAGGCAAAUUGACCCUGUAACUUCGGGAUAAAGGGUCCCUACUGAGAGGUAGGGCGCAGAGAAUAGGUCCAGGCAACUGUUUAACAAAAACACAUGGCUGUGCGAAAUAGAAAUAUGAAGUAUACAGCCUGACACCUGCCCGGUGCUGGAAGGUUAAGAGGAGAGCUCAUCGCAAGAGAAGGCUCGAAUUGAAGCCCCAGUAAACGGCGGCCGUAACUAUAACGGUCCUAAGGUAGCGAAAUUCCUUGUCGGGUAAGUUCCGACCUGCACGAAUGGUGUAAUGAUCUGGACACUGUCUCAACCG